CAGAGACUCUGUGAGGCCACUAUUACAAGGUGAGACGCUUUGCGUUGAUUGGUGCUGCUGGACCACACUGGAGGUGCGAGUCCGCCGUGUAAUGGUUUAUGCCAUUACAAAGGAGCUGGCCUCUGUACUCAACUGGACAGGGGAAAAAAAACAAGGACCAGACAAAGCAAAAAAGGGCAUUUAAAGACACAGCGCCGUGCAGAUGCAUAUUUGAUGGCCUGGCGCAGCAGGUAGGGGCGAACUCUAUGUCUGAGUUGGUCUUUGCUCAAGCAGUCCAGAAAUGGCUCAGAUAUGCUCCAGAUCGUACGGGUGGCGCGCAGGACGCACAUCAUCCAUCCCCAUCCCGGAGUAAAUAAUAAAAAGUGACGUGAAACAUAGAAAUGUAAAUAGGAAACUUUGUCUUUUAAUAAAGUAUUUUGCAAAUGAUACAUGUCUAUUGACCUUUUUUGGUUUUUUGGUUUUUUUCAAUAAAAAGCAACUGUGCGAAAGAGGUGG